CCUACGGGCGGCAGCAGUGAGGAAUAUUGGUCCAUGGGCGCGAGCCUGAACCAGCCAAGUCGCGUGAGGGAAGACGGUCCUAUGGAUUGUAACCCUCUUUUGUCGGGGAGCAAAAGACGCCACGCGUGGCGUUCAGAGAGUACCCGAAGAAAAAGCAUCGGCUAACUCCGUGCCAGCAGCCGCGGUAAUACGGAGGAUGCGAGCGUUAGCCGGAUUUAUUGGGUUGAAAGGGUGCGCAGGCGGAAGAUCAAGUCAGCGGUAAAAUUGAGAGGCUCAACCGCUUCGAGCCGUUGAAACUGGUUUUCUGGAGUGAGUGAGAAGUAUGCGGAAUGCGUGGUGUAGCGGUGAAAGGCCUAGAUAGGACGAAGAACCCCGAUUGCGAAGGCAGCUUGCUGCAGCGGAACUGACGCUGAUGCUCGAAAGCGCGGGUAUCGAACAGGAUUAGAUACCCGAGUAGUC
rnacentral:rRNA from 1 species